CACGUAGGGCGCAAGCGUUGUCCGGAAUUAUUGGGCGUAAAGCGCGCGCAGGCGGUCCUUUAAGUCUGAUGUGAAAGCCCACGGCUCAACCGUGGAGGGUCAUUGGAAACUGGAGGACUUGAGUGCAGAAGAGAAGAGUGGAAUUCCACGUGUAGCGGUGAAAUGCGUAGAGAUGUGGAGGAACACCAGUGGCGAAGGCGACUCUUUGGUCUGUAACUGACGCUGAGGCGCGAAAACGUGGGGAGCAAACAGG
rnacentral:rRNA from 1 species